GGGCCAAGUUUUUCUCCAUUCCAUAGCUCCCAACAAAAAUGUAUGCUGCCACAACAGGAGCACCUGGAGAAGGUCUGGUCCACCAAUCCCGGCAGUCUAUGACCGGCACAACAGCUAUGAAUCUGUUACAGUUUAGACGAAGCAGCCUGCCUUAACAGAAGACCGCCUGGUUUUUGAUGCACAGGUGCCACGCUCCGGUUGAUUCUUGUUGUUGACUCUGCUCCAGCCCGAAAUCCAGUCGGAGUUGGAAAUUAACCAUAACAUCAGUACCUUACGUUCAGCUCUUGCGAUGAUCACAGCCGUCCACAAGCGCAUUCUUAAAGCCAG
rnacentral:lncRNA from 1 species